rnacentral:rRNA from 1 species
AGGUUUGAUCAUGGCUCAGAUUGAACGCUGGCGGCAUGCCUUACACAUGCAAGUCGAACGCGAAAGGGGGGCAACCCCCGAGUAGAGUGGCGAACGGGUGAGUAAUACAUCGGAACGUACCCAGUAGCGGGGGAUAACCUCUCGAAAGAGAGGCUAAUACCGCAUACGACCUACGGGUGAAAGAGGGGGAUCGCAAGACCUCUCACUAUUGGAGCGGCCGAUGUCGGAUUAGCUAGUUGGUGGGGUAAAAGCCUACCAAGGCCACGAUCCGUAGCUGGUCUGAGAGGACGGCCAGCCACACUGGAACUGAGACACGGUCCAGACUCCUACGGGAGGCAGCAGUGGGGAAUUUUGGACAAUGGGCGAAAGCCUGAUCCAGCCAUGCCGCGUGAGUGAAGAAGGCCUUCGGGUUGUAAAGCUCUUUCGGCUGGGACGAAAAGGUCCGUGCUAACACCACGGAUCCAUGACGGUACCAGCAGAAGAAGCACCGGCUAACUACGUGCCAGCAGCCGCGGUAAUACGUAGGGUGCAGGCGUUAAUCGGAAUUACUGGGCGUAAAGCGUGCGCAGGCGGUUUGCUAAGACAGGUGUGAAAUCCCCGGGCUUAACCUGGGAACUGCGCUUGUAACUGGCAAGCUUGAGUGUGGCAGAGGGGGGUGGAAUUCCACGUGUAGCAGUGAAAUGCGUAGAGAUGUGGAGGAA